AGCGAACGCUGGCGGCAGGCCUAACACAUGCAAGUCGAACGAACCUUUCGGGGUUAGUGGCGGACGGGUGAGUAACACGUGGGAACGUGCCUUUAGGUUCGGAAUAACUCAGGGAAACUUGUGCUAUACCGAAUGUGCCCUUCGGGGGAAAGAUUAAUCGCCUUUAGAGCGGCCCGCGUCUGAUUAGCUAGUUGGUUGAGGUAAUGGCUCACCAAGGCGACGAUCAGUAGCUGGUCUGAGAGGAUGAUCAGCCACAUUGGGACUGAGACACGGCCCAAACUCCUACGGGAGGCAGCAGUGGGGAAUCUUGCGCAAUGGGCGAAAGCCUGACGCAGCCAUGCCGCGUGAAUGAUGAAGGUCUUAGGAUUGUAAAAUUCUUUCACCGGGGACGAUAAUGACGGUACCCGGAGAAGAAGCCCCGGCUAACUUCGUG
rnacentral:rRNA from 1 species